rnacentral:rRNA from 1 species
GCAGUCAAGAAUAUUAGUCAAUGCUCGAAAGAGUGAACUAGCUAACUGAAAUCAAUUAAAAAAUUGAUAACAUAAGGGAAAAUAAUGAUAUUACCUUAUUAUUAGUGUCGUCCAAAACUGGUGCCAGAAGACUCGGUAAGGCCAGAGACAUAAACGUUAAUCGUCUUAAUCAGGCGUAAAGGGUUUGUAGGCGGCUUUUAAUUUUACUUAUUUAUCCUUUUUUCGUUAUUUUUUAAUUAAAAUUUAUAAGUAAAGAAUAAAAGCUAGAAUCAAAUAGAGGAUAUAUUAAAUAAUGCUUAGAGUAGGUCUGAUAUCCAUAGAUACUAAGUAGAAUAUUAAAGGCGAAGGCUUUUUUCCAUUAAUGAUUGACGCUCAGAAACGAAGGUGAGGAUAGGAAAUAGGAUUAGAUACCCAAAAUACCCCUCUCUGUCAACGAUGAAUGGUAGUUAUUAGUAAUAAAUUAAUUAAUGACAAUGUUAACACGAUAACCAUUCCGCCUUGUGAGUACAACUGCAAAGUUGAAAACAAAAAAA